UAGGGAAUCUUCCGCAAUGGACGAAAGUCUGACGGAGCAACGCCGCGUGAGUGAAGAAGGAUUUCGGUUCGUAAAACUCUGUUGUUAGGGAGGAAAAAAUGUAUAGUAACUAUAUACAAAAGAGACGGUACCUAACCAGAAAGCCACGGCUAACUACGUGCCAGCAGCCGCGGUAAUACGUAGGUGGCAAGCGUUGUCCGGAAUUAUUGGGCGUAAAGCGCGCGCAGGUGGUUUAGAAAGUCUGAUGUGAAAGCCCACGGCUCAACCGUGGAGGGUCAUUGGAAACUAAUAAACUUGAGUGCAGGAGAGAAAAGUGGAAUUCCUAGUGUAGCGGUGAAAUGCGUAGAGAUUAGGAGGAACACCGGUGGCGAAAGCGGCUUUUUGGCCUGCAACUGACACUGAGGCGCGAAAGCGUGGGGAGCAAACAGG
rnacentral:rRNA from 1 species